UUAAAUUUUAUACCUACGACAUAAACGUAUAUACAACUGAGGUACAUGAUGUAUAUUUAUAUACUUACACGCUAUGUACACUCACGUCAAUAACACAAUAGCACCACACCCGAGCCACGACGAUCCCUUCUCUUGGGUCCUCUGCAGGUAUAUGCCUAUAAUAUAGUAUAAUAGAAUCUCUUUUGUUGCAGGCGACACUGUGUUCUGCGAUCAGCCACCGUCGGCAUUUUUCUUCGCUGUCUUGUAAACCAGUCGAACUGUCGAAUCGAUUUCUACAAUCAUUUGAGUUUUGAACACGAUUCAACGUCGACGUACAUUCCGAUACAGCCUACAGUGUGGUCAGUGUUCUGUUCGCUACGCCAUUUGCACGUGUUGUCAACAGUCUUCGUCGCAGUUUUCAACGUUUCGAAGGUCCAUACAAUUUUCGCAUUCAAAAUGAAGAAGUCCACGAAUAAUGGAGAAUCUUUGUCCAAUCAGCCUCAGAACAAUCAGCCUCGAAACUCGCAGUCUCGACAUGACAUCUUUUUCGGCAGGGGCUUUAUUGGUUUUAACCAACACGAUCGUUUGCCGGUUAUAACACGUGUGUGGAGUUUGGCAUCGGAAACUAACAAUCGGAAACCAACAAAAUGGGAUGGCAAUGAGGAAUAAUAUAUUAUGUCAUAUGUGAAGUAGUUAUAUUAUAUACUAUGAACUUGUACAAUAUAUUACUGUCACACAUUA